CCAGGGUGGAGGUCUGAACAAAGGAUCUGCUUCGGGAAAGACGUAUUCCUGGUCGUAAUGAUGAAACACCCACCAAAAAGGACCAAGCAGCGUGGUAACAGGCAGCAGCGGGAUCAGGACUCCUGGACAUGGGAGGACGUUUUAGACGUCAAGGGUUGCUACACAUGGGAGGAGAUCCUGGCUGGAAGGGAUCGCCUCCCGUGGGAACAGGUGGAGGCAGCCAGGAGAGCGGAGGCAGCAGACGAUCCACACGGACUCUACGCCCAUCCACAGGGCCCUACCCACUCAGAAAAACACACCUUCACUCUUACUCACAAGCACAAACACAUACCGGUACUCACAUACACCCUCACUCACACUCAUUACUGACCCCACACACUUACAACCCACACGCACACUCCCCCUCACACCUACCCUGCUGCUAAAUUUUGUAUUUAUUUAUUACUUCCAUUACCCUGUCGUUCAUUGAUUAUUGAUUGCCAUUAUCAUUAGUAUCUAUCUAUUGAUCCUGCUACUGGUCACUAUUCCUCCUGUUUACAUGUAUAUAUUGCCAUUAGAAUACCAUAACUAUGUAUAUGUUGC
ensembl:lncRNA